rnacentral:rRNA from 1 species
AUUGAACGCUGGCGGCAGGCUUAACACAUGCAAGUCGAGCGGAGAUGAGGUGCUUGCACCUUAUCUUAGCGGCGGACGGGUGAGUAAUGCUUAGGAAUCUGCCUAUUAGUGGGGGACAACAUUCCGAAAGGAAUGCUAAUACCGCAUACGUCCUACGGGAGAAAGCAGGGGAUCUUCGGACCUUGCGCUAAUAGAUGAGCCUAAGUCGGAUUAGCUAGUUGGUGGGGUAAAGGCCUACCAAGGCGACGAUCUGUAGCGGGUCUGAGAGGAUGAUCCGCCACACUGGGACUGAGACACGGCCCAGACUCCUACGGGAGGCAGCAGUGGGGAAUAUUGGACAAUGGGGGGAACCCUGAUCCAACCAUGCCGCGUGUGUGAAGAAGGCCUUAUGGUUGUAAAGCACUUUAAGCGAGGAGGAGGCUACUGAGACUAAUACUCUUGGAUAGUGGACGUUACUCGCAGAGUAAGCACCGGCUAACUCUGUGCCAGCCGCCGCCGUAAGAC